rnacentral:misc_RNA from 1 species
AACGCACAUUGCGCCCGCCAGUAUUCUGGCGGGCAUGCCUGUUCGAGCGUCAUUAACACCCCUCAAGCCCCCGGGCUUGGUGUUGGGGAUCGGGAAACCGCUCGCCGGCGGACGCGCCCCCCUCGGGGGCCCUUCGCCGGCCCGCGCCCCGUCCCCCAAAUGCAUCGGCGGUCACGCCGCGGCCUCUUGCGCGUAGUAGAAAACACCUCGCGCCGGAGCCCGACGUGGUCCACGCCGUAAAACCCCCGACUUUUUACCAAGUUGACCUCGAAUCAGGUAGGACUACCCGCUGAACUUAA